rnacentral:rRNA from 1 species
GGUAACACUGAAUGGAGGACCGAACCGACUUACGUUGAAAAGUGAGCGGAUGAACUGAGGGUAGCGGAGAAAUUCCAAUCGAACCUGGAGAUAGCUGGUUCUCUCCGAAAUAGCUUUAGGGCUAGCCUCAAGUGAUGAUUAUUGGAGGUAGAGCACUGUUUGGACGAGGGGCCCCUCUCGGGUUACCGAAUUCAGACAAACUCCGAAUGCCAAUUAAUUUAACUUGGGAGUCAGAACAUGGGUGAUAAGGUCCGUGUUCGAAAGGGAAACAGCCCAGACCACCAGCUAAGGUCCCAAAAUAUAUGUUAAGUGGAAAAGGAUGUGGCGUUGCCCAGACAACUAGGAUGUUGGCUUAGAAGCAGCCAUCAUUUAAAGAGUGCGUAAUAGCUCACUAGUCGAGUGACACUGCGCCGAAAAUGUACCGGGGCUAAACAUAUUACCGAAGCUGUGGAUUGUCCUUUGGACAAUGGUAGGAGAGCGUUCUAAGGGC